rnacentral:rRNA from 1 species
GAUGAACGCUGGCGGCGUGCCUAAUACAUGCAAGUCGAGCGAACAGACGAGGAGCUUGCUCCUUUGACGUUAGCGGCGGACGGGUGAGUAACACGUGGAUAACCUACCUAUAAGACUGGGAUAACUUCGGGAAACCGGAGCUAAUACCGGAUAACAUGUUGAACCGCAUGGUUCAACAGUGAAAGACGGUCUUGCUGUCACUUAUAGAUGGAUCCGCGCCGCAUUAGCUAGUUGGUAAGGUAACGGCUUACCAAGGCAACGAUGCGUAGCCGACCUGAGAGGGUGAUCGGCCACACUGGAACUGAGACACGGUCCAGACUCCUACGGGAGGCAGCAGUAGGGAAUCUUCCGCAAUGGGCGAAAGCCUGAUGGAGCAACGCCGCGUGAGUGAAGAAGGUCUUCGGAUCGUAAAACUCUGUUAUUAGGGAAGAACAAAUGUGUAAGUAACUAUGCACGUCUUGACGGUACCUAAUCAGAAAGCCACGGCUAACUACGUG